CAGCAGCCACGGGAAUACGGAGGGAGCUAGCGUUGUUCGGAAUUACUGGGCGUAAAGCGCACGUAGGCGGCUUUGUAAGUUAGAGGUGAAAGCCUGGGGCUCAACUCCAGAAUUGCCUUUAAGACUGCAUCGCUUGAGUUCGGGAGAGGUGAGUGGAAUUCCCAGUGUAGAGGUGAAAUUCGUAGAUAUUGGGAAGAACACCAGUGGCGAAGGCGGCUCACUGGACCGACACUGACGCUGAGGCGCGAAAGCGGGGGGAGCAAACAGGAUUAGAUACCCGCGUAGUCCCUGUCUCUUAUAA
rnacentral:rRNA from 1 species